rnacentral:tRNA from 1 species
GAAGUUAUAGUCAAAAAUGACAUCUGGGUUGCAUUCAGAAAGUGCUUUAUCUUAAGCUAACUUUA